ACGGUGGAGGACCGGAGGGGGUGGAGGAGGAGGAGACGAGGACAGUGGCGGAGGGAGAUGACGAAGAACAGGAAUGACAGUGAAGACGAAGACGAUGACUUGCUCUACUUCUGUCGGCAGAAUCCUAUUGUCCCAUCGUCAUCAGCGUCUUCAUCCAAGCACCACCAGGGUGGAAGAGGAGGAGGAGGAGGAGGAGGAAGCGGCGGUCUCGCCCCCUCGAAGUCCACGGUCUACGUGAGCAACCUGGACUACAGCCUCACCAAUUCCGACAUCCACACCAUCUUCUCCACUUUCGGCAAGGUCGCCAAGGUCACCGUUCUCAAAGACAGGGUCUCCCGCCAGAGCAAAGGCGUUGCCUUCGUCCUCUUCGUCUCGAGGUCCGAUGCCCUCAACGCUGCCCAGCAGAUGCAAGGGAAGGUCCUGAAUGGAAGAACCCUAACCGCCUCCAUCGCCGUCGAUAACGGCCGGGCCACGGAGUUCAUCCGUCGGAAGGUGUAUAAGGACAAGAGCCGGUGUUACGAGUGCGGGGACGCCGGCCACCUGUCAUACGAGUGCCCCAAGAAUCAGUUGGGCCCGAGGGAACGUCCACCGCCGUCCAAAAAGGGUCGUCGUGGUUCCCAGAUGGAGAAGGGAGGGGGGAGGUUAGGAUGGGACUCCGACGACGGAGAAACCGCGGAGGACCCUGGAUUCGAGGACGACAAUUGGGCGUCCGUCGUUGAUCCGAGGGGAGCUGAUGAGAGGACGACUUCUUUCGAGAAGAAGGUGACCAAAGCCGCUAAGAAAUCCAGCUAUUUCAGCGACGAAAGUGGUGAUGAUGACUAGCAUUUCAUGUGGCGUAAGAACAAGGCCCUGAAUUUGCUUGCUUAUGAGCGUUGAGGAACUUAUCACGUGGCUGCAAAUUUAUGACUAUGCACUUCCAAGGAGGGUCAAUAUAAAUACAUUCAACCGCUUUACUGGAAUGUUGGAAUGCGCUGGCACCUUUAUUCGUGUGGUACGUAGAUUGUACUGUUGUUCAUUGGGAACGGUGGAAUGUGAGAGAACUGUACCUUCAAGAACAUGAACAGCGAUUGGCAACUGAUGUUUCAUUUUUAUGCCUUCUGUCUCUUGAAGAAGACUGCCUAUGGAAUCCAAGGCAUUCACUGUCGUGUUAGCAUCGCAACUGCCGACACCACAAUCCACAUCUAGAUGCCUUCUAAAUGAGGUGAUAUUUAUUAAAUUCCCUGCUAAAUUAGUGGCUCUUCCAACAGUUCCAGCUUCAGGGGCCGUCUCAGGUGGCUAUCCGGUUUAAAAGCUGCAUUGAAGCAUUGUUAAGAGUGGAAGUGAGGGAACACCUGAGCCAGCAGAACUGCAAGAGAGGACACCUGGACAUGGAGAGUUCGUCAAAUCCGUGGAUGCAGCGGAUUCUUUACCGCCAUCUGUAUUUGCUUGUUGAUCGGAUAAAAAUAUGAGGGGACUACACCUGUUAUAGCCACUCGAGGUGGUUGUGUACAAUUCCGUCGGAAUUAAUGUCCUACAGUUGUGGGUGGAUUCUCUCUCUCUCUCUGCCUGUUUGUGUGCGGAUUUUUUUUUGUCCCGGUUAUUUUUCAAUGGACUUCUGAUUGUCAAACUCUGUAAUUACAAAAUAGAACAUCAUCAUCUUCAAAUACCUUUGACAGAGGCCAGGAAAAUACAUCAAUUAGCCUCCUCAUAA